UGGGAGAAAAAUAUUUUUGGUAUGUCCUGCUCAAUGCUAAUGUAAAUAGCUGCAGUAUAUUGACUGUACAAAGGUAGCAUAAUCAUUAGUUCUUUAAUUGGGGGCUGGUAUGAAAGGAUGAACGUAAUAUUAACUUUUUUAUUGUUAUGAAAUUUUAAUUUGGAAUUUAAGUUAAAAUACUUAAAUAAAUAAAAGGGACGAGAAGACCCUAUAGAAUUUAAAAAUUAAAUUGUAGAGUAAUUUUUUGGUUGGGGUGACAUAAAAUUAACUUUUUUUUGGUAAAUCAUUGAUAAAUGAUUAAAUGAUCCUAAAAAAUUUGGAGAAUAAGAUAAAAUUACCUUAGGGAUAACAGCAUAAUAUUUUUUUGAAGAUCAUAUUUAUGGAAAUGUUUAUGACCUCGAUGUUGAAUUAAGUUUACAUUUAAAUGUAGAGAUUUAAGUGUUAAGUCUGUUCGACUUUAAUUUUUACAUGAUUUGAGUUCAAAUC
rnacentral:rRNA from 1 species